rnacentral:rRNA from 1 species
AAUAGAUACCCUGGUAGUCCACGCCGUAAACGGUGGGCACUAGGUGUGGGCGACAUUCCACGUCGUCCGUGCCGCAGCUAACGCAUUAAGUGCCCCGCCUGGGGAGUACGGCCGCAAGGCUAAAACUCAAAGGAAUUGACGGGGGGCCCGCACAAGCAGCGGAGCGUGUGGUUUAAUUCGUCGCAACGCGAAGAACCUUACCAGGGCUUGACAUGUGGCGGAAAACGGCGGAAACGUCGUCCUCCCGCAAGGGACCGUCAUGCAGGUGUUGCAUGGCUGUCGUCAGCUCGUGUCGUGAGAUGUUGGGUUAAGUCCCGCAACGAGCGCAACCCCCGUGGCAUGUUGUAUCUCUCAUGCCAGACUGCCGAGAGAAACUCGGAGGAAGGUGGGGAUGACGCCAAGUCAGCAUGGCCCUUACGUCCUGGGCUACACACACGCUACAAUGGCCGGUACAACGGGUUGCCAAACCGCGAGGUGGAGCUAAUCCCUUAAAGCCGGUCUCAGUUCGGAUUGCAGGCUGCACUCG